AUGCUUGCUUCAGUGGCAUAUAUAUUAAAAUUGGAAUGAUACAGAGAAGAGUAGCAUGGCUCCUCCCCCACAUACACACAGUUUUCUGCAUAGCUGCCAUAUUAAU
rnacentral:snRNA from 1 species